UAUUAUUCUACCUAUCACAUAAAAAGGUAAUAAAAAAUGACUGUAAUUCUCAAGUUAUACGUUGUAUGUAUAUUUCUUUUCUUAUUUUUUGUUGCAUCAAAGGGUAUUAGUGAUGGAAUGAAGAAUUGUGAACACGAUCUUACGAUUUGUGAACAAGAUUCUGAUUGCAAUUGCGUUCUACAUGAGGUAAGCAACUGUUUGAAUGGCUUCUGUAGAUGUGUUACCGUACUUAAACCAAUGACAAAGAUGCUUUGAAGGGAUAAAUAAAUAUUGUACCUGAAAAAGAUCUAUGAGUAUAUUAUAUUCUAAGACAAUAAAUAAAUAAAUAAAUAAAAUAACAAAAAAUAUUAUUUAUA